rfam:Myotis davidii contig130819, whole genome shotgun sequence.
GGUGGUUCUCAGUUGAUGCACCCCAGAAUCAGGUUCCUCCUUCUCUGGUUCCAGGUGCAUCACCUGAGAAUGGCA